GGGCCUUAGCGCUCAUGGGUGAGCGCAUCGCUGGCAGCGAUGCGGUCAGGGGUUCGAUCCGCCUAGGCUCCA
rnacentral:tRNA from 1 species